rnacentral:lncRNA from 1 species
UAAAAGUGGUGAACAAAAAGCCAGUGGGCAAAAUUGAAGAGCUUCAGAGACACCUGCUGAGUGUAAGUCUGGUGGAUGGAAAGGAGCAAUUAAAGAAACUCACUGAGUUGAAACAGUCUCUGGCAACUAGUUUGGAUCAAGAAACGAAGAAAAAUGACAAAUUGUGAAAAGAGCUUACUGGAUUGAUGAUCUGGCAGCACAGCUGGAAUCUGCCUUUUCAGAGUGUCUAUAUCUGGAUUCCAAAACACAAGUUCUUCAACAGAAAUUACUGUCUAUGAAAGGAAUGCAAAGGGGAUGUGAAGAACUAGAGAUGCAUUAAGAGAAGUUGGAACAGGAAGUAGCAAACCUAAAACACCACAUAGAAAUGAAUAAGGCACAGGCAGCAUCUCAAGAAAAAAUGGUCCGGUUUUGGGAGAGUAAGUAUGUUUCAAUGAGAAGUCAGAUGGAACUCAAAAUGAGAGAUCUGGAAUCUGAACUCUCCAAAGCAAAAAGUUUUCACUAAUAUUCUAAUAAAUCAGGAUUGGAAACAUAUAAGUGACUCUAC